rnacentral:rRNA from 1 species
UACGUAGGGUGCGAGCGUUAAUAGGAAUUACUGGGCGUAAAGCGUGCGCAGGCGGUGAUGUAAGACAGGUGUGAAAUCCCCGGGCUUAACCUGGGAACUGCAUUUGUGACUGCAUUGCUGGAGUGCGGCAGAGGGGGAUGGAAUUCCGCGUGUAGCAGUGAAAUGCGUAGAUAUGCGGAGGAACACCGAUGGCGAAGGCAAUCCCCUGGGCCUGCACUGACGCUCAUGCACGAAAGCGUGGGGAGCAAACAGG